GUUUGAUUACAAGUAGACAAAAUUGUUUAUCCCUUUGAAAUGAAAUAUUUAAUCAUAAGAGACAAUACAAUUUAAGUGUUUUUAUCCAUUAACUCUUUUCAACAAAAAAACUGCUUGCUUUAGGUCAUUUCUAAGCAUUCAAUAAUUGAAUUGUGGGGCCCAUCUUUCUUUCAAACUGAGGAAAGUGGAAAAGACAGACAGAGACUGGCAUGAAAUAUCAGGGUGAGAGCCUGAUAGAAACAGACAUGUAAUGUUUGACAUACACACUUUGACUGCAAUUGAGAUAAAUGGCUCUGUCCUUCUCCCUUCUCCUCCCUUCUUUCAGACACAGUGUAUGAGUUCAGGCUACAGGCAGCAGCAGACAAUUUCAUUGCUGCAGCCUCAAGGCUGCCCAGAGCCUCUGGAUGAUUCCCCCCAUGUGGUUUCCAGGUGCAAGGUGCUGUUUAUAACUGCAUGACCUGUCAGUACGACUCCUGUGAGUUCCCGCUGGAUUGCCCUGGUGAGUUGACAGGCUCCUUUACAUGUGUGCAGUUUUGUGUUCAAUAUAUUAUGAUAUGUAAUUCUAUGCAGUCCCCCACUCACCCACUCUCUCCACACUUGACAUGAUGGAUAUGUUAUAACUCAACCUGACAGAACCACCUCUGUAAUUAUGUAACAGCAUUUACGCAGUACAAACAUCUAUUGCUUUUAAAUCUACGUGGGAGCACAGCAAAGUUGUUAAACGAAACCUUGGGCCUUGACACACUUUUACACAUAAUAUAAUUUCUCACAGAUAGCCCUUUGGGUCACCUAAGAUGGCAGGCCUUCUCCCACACACUGUGGUAUUCAUUUCCACUCAGCACAGCUACAAUUAUUGCUCAGUGUAUCUUUUCUUUGGCUGCUCUCACCAGAGGCUUUGCUUAAAUAUUAUAAUUAGGUGAAUGGUGGGCAGACUGUGCUGCCUCUGUUCUUCUGUCGACAAAAGGCAUUCAGUUGCAAGGUGAAGUGUUACAGAUCUGCGUCUAAUGUAUUGCUGUGUGUGUGUGAUGUAUGUGCUUUUACAGUGAAGGAAAUCAAUGUAAAGGAGAACAACAGAACUCAGAUGUGGUGUAAGGUCCCUUUCCUGCUUCCUACAGAU
ensembl:lncRNA